ensembl:lncRNA
AAAAACAUAAGUCUGAUCAUAUCAUUUUGUGAAACACACACACACACACACAGAGGUAUUCCUAUCAUUAUGGGGACGUUCCAUAGGCGUAAUGGUUUUUAUAGUGUACAAACUGUAUUUUCUAUCCCUUUAUCCUAAACCUACCCCUCACACUAAACUUUCUGCAUUUUUAGAUUGUUAAAACACUUCACUCUGUAUCAUUUAUAACCUUGUUUCCUCAUAGGGACCUAAAAAAUGUCCCCACAAGGUCAAAAUUUACUGGUAUUACUAGCUAUAUCCUUGUGUAUAUAUCCUCCUUCAUAACAUAGUGAAUACCAGUACACACACACACACACACACACUUUAACCCAGUUUACCUACAUAAUAUAUAUUUAUUUAUUAAAGCUUUUCUCUACCAGUAAGCAGAUGUAAAUUUGCCCAACAAAACACACUGUUUAUUCACAAUUCAUUUGGGGGUUUGAACUCACAGCAUUUAGGUUAGCAACGUGACCGCUGGACCGCUGACCGUAUGAAUGCAUUAAUACAAUCCAUGUGAAAAUGUAGCUGGUCACCAGAGAUGGUGAACACUCUCCAUGUAUUUCUAGAAUAGCUUCCGCUGGCAGUGAAACGCUCUGAGCCGUAAGUCCUGCUGAUGUACGGUAUUGGGCAGCUGCAAUCACAGUCUACUCAAGCUGGCACUGUUAUUCUAAUACAGCAGCCCUGCAGCACGUACCCCAUACCUGCAAUGUUUAUUUCGGGUUCCUUUGACUCACACUGCGGCUUUUUCCUAUUUCCUUGCUACAAUUAUUUGUGAAGAUAAACUACACUCAGCAUGGCCCGUAUUGGGUCUCCUGCAGGUUUUGGCACACCGGCUUUAGGACUGUUGUCUGAUUGGCACAAGCAUGUCGACCGUACUGUUGAGUCCUGCUUGCCUUGCCCUAAAUGUCGGGUGAGUCAUGGAUAUGGAUUAAUAGCAACACUCUUCAUUUACACCUUUAACACUCCCCCACUAAGAAAACGCUCUUCAUGUGGCUCAAGAGGCAGUCGGCCGAGCGGUGACAGGCUGUGGUCAUACUAUCAGUCAUCGCUGUCAUGUGCCCUCAAUCUGUCUGUGCAGCUGUAA